rnacentral:rRNA from 1 species
CCUACGGGGGGCAGCAGUGGGGAAUAUUGCACAAUGGGCGCAAGCCUGAUGCAGCCAUGCCGCGUGUAUGAAGAAGGCCUUCGGGUUGUAAAGUACUUACAGCGGGGAGGAAGGUGUUGUGGUUAGUAACCGCAUCAAUUGACGUUACCCGCAGAAGAAGCACCGGCUAACUCCGUGCCAGCAGCCGCGGUAAUACGGAGGGUGCAAGCGUUAAUCGGAAUUAUUGGGCGUAAAGCGCACGCAGGCGGCCUGUCAAGUCGGAUGUGAAAUCCCCGGGCUCAACCUGGGAACUGCAUUCGAAACUGGCAGGCUAGAGUCUUGUAGAGGGGGGUAGAAUUCCAGGUGUAGCGGUGAAAUGCGUAGAGAUCUGGAGGAAUACCGGUGACGAAGGCGGCCCCCUGGACAAAGACUGACGCUCAGGUGCGAAAGCGUGGGGAGCAAACAGGAUUAGAUACCCCUGUAGUC